AAUUACUUUGUCUUUAUUUAAAUAGAAAAAAAUUAAAUUUAGAGACCUCUUGAGAUGAUUUUUGCAUGAAAGCUAGAUUAGUUUAAAGAAUCAUCAUCAUCAUUAAAUCUGCCAAGGCCUGAUGUCAUAAGUUAAUGUCCUUUGUACAACUGAAGCACUUGGAAUGUGGGAACUGACCCUGAUUAAGAUAAGAAGAGUCAUUCACCCAAGAAGUCAGCUUAAAACCAUGUCAAUUCAGUUUGACUUAAAUUAGGGCAAGAAUUCCAGUGACUUCUUUUUCUAUCUGAAUGGUCUUUCUCUAAUCAGCAACCUGUCUGAAUUGGUUAUGAACCCCCCAGGGUACAGCCCUGUUUCUGCAUGUUUUCCUCUAUGUCUCCAGGGGCUCACAUAUUAAAAUGCUAUUACACUGUUGGGAAAGUGGAGAAUAAGAGUCAUGCUGCAUCGCAAUCAAACCACAAGGUAUUUUUGCUCAAACAAUUCAUGAUGACUCUGACUCAGUUUCUUGGCAUUCCAUGGAUAACAAUGGAGCAAGUAGGAAAUCAGUUUGUCAUCUCUCAAUCUAGUUCAGGGGUUCUAAACCUUGAGACUGUGAAUUUAAAAGAUAAAAAAAUUAAUAAAUAUAUUUCUCCUUUAU
rnacentral:lncRNA from 1 species